AGUGAACGCUGGCGGUAGGCCUAACACAUGCAAGUCGAACGGCAGCACAGUAAGAGCUUGCGCUUACGGGUGGCGAGUGGCGGACGGAAGAGGAAAACAUCGUAAUCUACUUUUUCGGGGGGGAUAACGUAGGGAAACCUACGACAAUACCGCAGACGACCUACGGGUGAAAGGAGUGGAUAUUUGGACCUGGCGCGAAUGAACGAGCCGAUGUCGGAGUAGUUGGUUGGCGGGGUAAAGGCCAACCAAGGCGAGGAUCCGUAGCCGGUCUGAGUGGAUGGUAGGCCACACUGGAACGUGGACACCGUCCAGGGUCCUACGGUAGGCCGCAGUGGGGAAUAUUGGACAGUGGGGGCAAGCCUGGUCCAGCCGUCCCGCGUGGGUUGAGAAAGCCUUCCGGUUGUAAAGCCCGUUUGUUGGGUAAGAAACGCAGCAGGUUAAUACCCCGCUGUUCUGACGGUACUCAAAGAAUAAGCACCGGCUAACUUCGUG
rnacentral:rRNA from 1 species